AUGGACAAGUUCACGAGACCCGGGAAAGUGGUGCUGGUCCUGGCCAGAGGCUAUUCUGGACGCAAAACCCUCACGGUGAAGAACGUUGAUGAUGCCAUCUCAGACCUCCCCUCCAGCCAUGCUCUGGUGACUGGAAUUGACCACUAUCCCCGCAAAGUGACAGCUGCCAUGGACAAGAAGAAGAUUGCCAAGAGGUUAAAGAUCAAGUCUUGUAAAAGUUUAAAAGUGCAAUCACCUCCUGCCCACAAGGUUCUCUGUGGACUUCCCCUUGGACAAAACUGUUGUCGACAAGGAUGUCUUCAGAGGCCCUGCUCUUAAACACAAGGCCCGACGGGAGGCCAAGGCCAAGUUUGAAGAGAGGUGCAAGAUGGGCAAGAACAAGUGGGUCUUCCAGAAGCUGUGAGUUUAGA